AUUGAACGCUGGCGGCAGGCUUAACACAUGCAAGUCGAGCGGAGCGAGGGUGCUUGCACCUUAGCUUAGCGGCGGACGGGUGAGUAAUGCUUAGGAAUCUGCCUAUUAGUGGGGGACAACAUUCCGAAAGGAAUGCUAAUACCGCAUACGCCCUACGGGGGAAAGCAGGGGAUCUUCGGACCUUGCGCUAAUAGAUGAGCCUAAGUCGGAUUAGCUAGUUGGUGGGGUAAAGGCCUACCAAGGCGACGAUCUGUAGCGGGUCUGAGAGGAUGAUCCGCAACACUGGAACUGAGACACGGCCCGGACUCCUACGGGAGGCAGCAGUGGGGAAUAUUGGACAAUGGGCGGAAGCCUGAUCCAGCCAUGCCGCGUGUGUGAAGAAGGCCUUUUGGUUGUAAAGCACUUUAAGCGAGGAGGAGGCUCUUAAGGUUAAUACCCUUGAUGAGUGGACGUUACUCGCAGAAUAAGCACCGGCUAACUCUGUGCCAGCCGCCGCGGUAAUAC
rnacentral:rRNA from 1 species